rnacentral:rRNA from 1 species
CAGCAGUAGCCGCGGUAAUACGGAGGAUCCAAGCGUUAUCCGGAAUCAUUGGGUUUAAAGGGUCCGUAGGCGGUCUUGUAAGUCAGUGGUGAAAGCCCAUCGCUCAACGGUGGAACGGCCAUUGAUACUGCAGGACUUGAAUUAUUGGGAAGUAACUAGAAUAUGUAGUGUAGCGGUGAAAUGCUUAGAGAUUACAUGGAAUACCAAUUGCGAAGGCAGGUUACUACCAAUUGAUUGACGCUGAUGGACGAAAGCGUGGGUAGCGAACAGGAUUAGAUACCCGGGUAGUCCCUGUCUCUUAUAC